rnacentral:lncRNA from 1 species
CUGAUGAUAUAAACUGGCUCAUUUGAUGCCAAGACUGACCAUCACCACCAUGCCAAGGUCCUCACUGAUCAGAGGCCUAACCCAAGGAGGUGGUCAUGUGCAGACCCAGCGGUGGGGAGGAAAGAUGCUGCAGAGGAGACAGAUGCCCACAGAGGCCCCUGAGCGGAUACAAUGCUCACUAAGUGGGCUGACCCCACAUUGGACACCACUGCAUCCAUGUCCAUCACACACCACAGCUGCCUUUUCUUCUGCCUGCUUAUGGGAAAGUCCCCUCCUCUCCUCCGUUUUCUUCUCUUCCUGCCCCUAUCACACUGUGCACUUCUCCCUUUCCUUACAGAACCACCAUCAACUUUAGGAGGAGGGAAAGGGGUGGCUCUGGCAGGAAAAGCCAGAAUCCCCUCUAGCCAGCAGAGAGAGAGGAAUGGCUGCAUGUUUUCUCCCCCAAUCCAAGGCACUGGGUCUUGGCUGGGUUGCAGGUUCCAAGCUGCUCUCCUGCUGUGUCGGUGAGUUCUGGUCAACCUGCAACCUCCUGAUGUGGCCACUGCAGUUCAUCGAGUCUUCAGGGACUCCCCAUGGCCUGGAGUACUUUGCCUUGCUUACACGGGAGAGGAGAAUGGAUUUAUAGAGAACAUCAUCUAAAUCCAACUUGACCAUUGUGUGGCCACACUUGCUAGAUUGCUAUAGUCUAAAUCUAGCAUUGUAGAAAGACGGGGGAGCUUGGAGCUGCACAAACUCAGGUCUGGAACUGGCUCCUUACCUUGGAAGGUGAAUGAUCCUGGCAGGACUCUUAGCCUCCCUGGGCCUCAGUUUCUUUAUCUGUUUCAUGGGAAUGAGGAUCUCUGCUGGGUGGUUGGGUGAUGUGAGGGCUGUGUGAAAACAGCUUGUCAAUACAAGCCGAAAUAGAAAUAUUUCUCCACAGAUUAUGAAGGUCAAAUGAGAGAAUAUAUUUAAAUUAAAUGGAAAAUUAAAAUGGCAAAAAAGGCAAAGCUGUAUUGAAAGUUCCGAGCUUCUGUAUGAGCAGCUUUUUGACUAUGUAAGAAUCCUGUACUCGUUCCCCCUGAAUAU